GGCAAGGUGGCCGAGCGGUCUAAGGCGCCACGUUAAGGUGUUUAACCCUUAAUCGCGAUCCGUGGUCUCGAAAGGGGCGUGAGUUCGAAUCUCACCCUUGUCA